GAUGAACGCUGGCGGCGUGCCUAAUACAUGCAAGUCGAGCGAACAGAUGAGGAGCUUGCUCCUCUGACGUUAGCGGCGGACGGGUGAGUAACACGUGGAUAACCUACCUAUAAGACUGGGAUAACUUCGGGAAACCGGAGCUAAUACCGGAUAAUAUAUUGAACCGCAUGGUUCAAUAGUGAAAGACGGUUUUACUGUCACUUAUAGAUGGAUCCGCGCCGCAUUAGCUAGUUGGUAAGGUAACGGCUUACCAAGGCGACGAUGCGUAGCCGACCUGAGAGGGUGAUCGGCCACACUGGAACUGAGACACGGUCCAGACUCCUACGGGAAGCAGCAGUAGGGAAUCUUCCGCAAUGGGCGAAAGCCUGACGGAGCAACGCCGCGUGAGUGAUGAAGGUCUUCGGAUCGUAAAACUCUGUUAUUAGGGAAGAACAAAUGUGUAAGUAACUAUGCACGUCUUGACGGUACCUAAUCAGAAAGCCACGGCUAACUACGUG
rnacentral:rRNA from 1 species